rnacentral:rRNA from 1 species
UACGGAGGGGGCUAGCGUUGUUCGGAAUUACUGGGCGUAAAGCGCACGUAGGCGGCUUUGUAAGUUAGAGGUGAAAGCCCGGGGCUCAACUCCGGAAUUGCCUUUAAGACUGCAUCGCUAGAAUUGUGGAGAGGUAAGUGGAAAUUCCGAGUGUAGAGGUGAAAUUCGUAGAUAUUCGGAAGAACACCAGUGGCGAAGGCGACUUACUGGACACAUAUUGACGCUGAGGUGCGAAAGCGUGGGGAGCAAACAGG